rnacentral:misc_RNA from 1 species
UCCGGUUUGUCACCGGCAGUCUCAUUAGAGUGCCCAACUGAAUGUAGCAACUAAUGACAAGGGUUGCGCUCGUUGCGGGACUUAACCCAACAUCUCACGACACGAGCUGACGACAGCCAUGCAGCACCUGUGUAAUGGUUCCCUUUCGGGCACUCCUCAAUCUCUCAAGGAUUCCAUUCAUGUCAAGGGUAGGUAAGGUUUUUCGCGUUGCAUCGAAUUAAUCCACAUCAUCCACCGCUUGUGCGGGUCCCCGUCAAUUCCUUUGAGUUUUAAUCUUGCGACCGUACUCCCCAGGCGGUCUACUUCACGCGUUAGCUGCGUUACCAAGUCAAUUAAGACCCGACAACUAGUAGACAUCGUUUAGGGCGUGGACUAC